UACGUAGGAUCCAAGCGUUAUCCGGAAUCACUGGGCGUAAAGCGUGCGUAGGCGGCGUGUUAAGUGAGAUGCGAAAUCUUGUGGCUCAACCAUAUAGACUGUGUCUCAUACUGGCAUGCUAGAGAAUGGCAGAGGCAAGUGGAAUUACCGGUGUAGCAGUGAAAUGCGUAGAGAUCGGAUAGGAACACCAAUGGCGAAGGCAGCUUGCUGGGCCAUUUCUGACGCUAAGGCACGAAAGCGUGGGGAGCGAACAGG
rnacentral:rRNA from 1 species